rnacentral:lncRNA from 1 species
CCCCCGCUAACCACUGACCCCCGCUAACCACUGACCUCCGCUAACCGCUGACCCCCGCUAACCACUGACCUCCGCUGACUGCUGACCCCCGCUAACCACUGACCUCCGCUAACCGCUGACCACCGCUAACCACUGAUCUCCACUAACCACUGUUCUCCGGUAACCGCUGACCCCCGCUAACCGCUGAUCCCCGCUAACCACUGACCUCCGCAGACCGCUGACCACCGCUAACCACUGACCUCCGCUGACCGCUGACCACCGCUAACCGCUGACCACCGCUAACCGCUGACCUCCGCUAACCGCUGACCCCCGCUAACCACUGACCUCCGCUGACCGCUAACCACUGACACCUGCUAACCGCUGACCACCGCUAACCACCGCUAACCACUGACCUCCGCUGACCGCCGACCACCGCUAACCACUGACCCCUGCUAACCACUGACCUCCGCUGACCGCUAACCACUGACACCUGCUAACCGCUGACCACCGCUAACCACUGACCUCCGCUGACCGCUGACCACCGCUAACCACUGACCACCACUAACCGCAUGGGAUGGUCCAAAACCUUCUGACCACAGCUGGUACUGGUCCAACUGGUACUGGUCCAAAUGGUACUGGUCCAAAUGGUCAGAUACUGGUCCAACUGGUACUGGUCCAACAGGUACUGGUCCAAAUGGUACUGGUCCAACUACUACUGGUCCAAAUGGUCAGAUACUGGUCCAACUGGUACUGGUCCAACUGGUACUGGUCCAUACAGAACAGAGUCCUUCAGGGAGGAUCCACAGUCCUCCUCUUGUUGUCUGGUCCACAGGCUGCUAACCGCUACUAGACGGAACGCACUGGAUGGAUCUACAUGGAGUAGACCAUGGUCCAACAGUGGAAGGGCUGAUGGAGUAAACCAUGGUCAAACAGUGGAAGGGCUGAGAGAUGGAGUAGAAGGUGGAAGGGAAGGGCUGAGAGAUGGAGUAAACCAUGGUCAAACAGUGGAAGGGCUGAGAGAUGGAGUAAACCAUGGUCAAACAGUGGAAGGGGCUGAUGGAGUAAACCAUGGUCAAACAGUGGAAGGGCUGAUGGAGUAAACCAUGGUCCAACAGUGGAAGGGCUGAUGGAGUAAACCAUGGUCCAACAGUGGAAGGGCUGAUGGAGUAAACCAUGGUCAAACAGUGGAAGGGCUGAUGGAGUAGACCAUGGUCAAACAGUGGAAGGGCUGAGAGAUGGAGUAGAAGGUGGAAGGGAAGGGCUGAGAGAUGGAAUAAACCAUGGUCAAACAGUGGAAGGGCUGAUGGAGUAGACCAUGGUCAAACAGUGGAGUGGCUGAUGGAGUAGACCAUGGUCAAACAGUGGAAGGGCUGAGAGAUGGAGUAAACCAUGGUCAAACAGUGGAAGGACUGAUGGAAUAAACCAUGGUCAAACAGUGGAAGGGCUCAGAGAGGAACAAUACAUUCCUGUGGGACGAUUCUGUCACCUUCAGGUUAAACUGUACUGUAUGUUUCAUCUAGUCUGAAGUUUGGACACUGGGUGGUUCUACACUGAGUGGACAAAACAUUAGGAACACUUCCCUAACACCCUCAGAACAGCCUCACUUCGUCGUGGCGUGGACUCUACAAGGUGUUGAAAGCUUUCCAACAAGGAUGUUGGUCCAUGUUGACUCCAAUGCUUCCUACAGUUGUGUCAAGUUGGCUGUCCUUCGGUUGGUGGAACAUUCUUCAUACACACGGGAAACUAUUGAGCGUGAAAAAUCCAGCAGCGUUGCAGUUCUUGACACAAAACGGUGCACCUGGCACCUACUACCAUACCCCGUUUUAUUCAGUGUAUAACAGAGCUUCUCUCAGAGCAAGGAGAAUGAGUGGUGUCAUCGGCAGAGAUGGUUUCCCACACGGCGUGUGUGUUGGUGUGACCUUGCCCGUGUGCGUGAUGACGUGUGAGUGUUUGGACGAAAGCCUCUACAUUCCUGCAUCCCUGGUCCUCCAUCUUCAUCCGUCUCCUGUCUGUUGUGUCAUUAUGCAGCAUCUACACAAGGCUGUGUUAAUGGGACUGUUACACUGCUGU